rfam:Daucus carota subsp. sativus cultivar DH1 chromosome 2, whole genome shotgun sequence.
AUACUUACCUGGAUGGGGUCAAUGGGCGAUCGAGAAGGCUCAUGGCCUAGGUUAGUGACCUCCAUUGCACUCAGGAGGGGUGCUCGCCUAAGGUCUACCCAAGUGGUGGAGCCUACAUCAUAAUUUGUGACAGGGGGACUUGCGUUCGCGCAGUCCCCAC